UGCANGUCGAACGGCAGCGCGGGGCAACCUGGCGGCGAGUGGCGAACGGGUGAGUAAUAUAUCGGAACGUACCCUGGAGUGGGGGAUAACGUAGCGAAAGUUACGCUAAUACCGCAUACGAUCUAAGGAUGAAAGUGGGGGAUUCGCAAGAACCUCAUGCUCCUGGAGCGGCCGAUAUCUGAUUAGUUAGUUGGUGGGGUAAAGGCCUACCAAGGCAUCGAUCAGUAGCUGGUCUGAGAGGACGACCAGCCACACUGGAACUGAGACACGGUCCAGACUCCUACGGGAGGCAGCAGUGGGGAAUUUUGGACAAUGGGCGCAAGCCUGAUCCAGCAAUGCCGCGUGAGUGAAGAAGGCCUUCGGGUUGUAAAGCUCUUUUGUCAGGGAAGAAACGGUGUUUUCUAAUACAGAAUGCUAAUGACGGUACCUGAAGAAUAAGCACCGGCUAACUACGUGCCAGUAGCCGCGGUAAUACGUAGGGUGCAAGCGUUAAUCGGAAUUACUGGGCGUAAAGCGUGCGCAGGCGGUUUUGUAAGUCUGUCGUGAAAUCCCCGGGCUCAACCUGGGAAUGGCGAUGGAGACUGCAAGGCUAGAGUUUGGCAGAGGGGGGUAGAAUUCCACGUGUAGCAGUGAAAUGCGUAGAUAUGUGGAGGAACACCGAUGGCGAAGGCAGCCCCCUGGGUCAAGACUGACGCUCAUGCACGAAAG
rnacentral:rRNA from 1 species